rnacentral:rRNA from 1 species
GACGAACGCUGGCGGCGUGCUUGACACAUGCAAGUCGAGCGACUGCAUUCUUUUCGGAGGGUGUAUGGAGCGGCGAACGGGUGAGUAACACGUGAGUAAUCUGCCUUUGGCUUGGGAAUAACUUCGGGAAAUCGGGGCUAAUGCCUGAUGUUUACUGUCUGCUGCAUGGUGGGUGGUGGAAAGAUUUUUUGGCCAGGGAUGAGCUCGCGGUCUAUCAGCNGUUGGUGGGGUAAUGGCUUACCAAGGCUUUGACGGGUAGCCGGCCUGAGAGGGUGUUCGGCCACACUGGGACUGAGACACGGCCCAGACUCCUACGGGAGGCAGCAGUGGGGAAUAUUGCGCAAUGGGCGUAAGCCUGACGCAGCGACGCCGCGUGGGGGAGUGAAGG